rnacentral:rRNA from 1 species
UACGUAGGGCGCAAGCGUUGUCCGGAAUUAUUGGGCGUAAAGAGCUCGUAGGCGGUUUGUCACGUCGGCUGUGAAAAACCCGAGGCUCAACCUCGGGCCUGCAGUCGAUACGGGCAGACUAGAGUGCUGUAGGGGAGACUGGAAUUCCUGGUGUAGCGGUGAAAUGCGCAGAUAUCAGGAGGAACACCGGUGGCGAAGGCGGGGUCUCUGGGGCCGAUACUGACGUGAGGAGCGAAAGUGUGGGGGAGCGAACAGG